rnacentral:pre_miRNA from 1 species
UUAGUACUCCCUCCGUCCCAAAAUUCUUGUCUUAGAUUUGUCUAGAUACGGAUGUACCUAAUACUAAAACGUGACUUGAUACAUCUGUAUUUGGACAAAUCUAAGACAAGAAUUUUGGGACGGAGGGAGUAUUUA